rnacentral:rRNA from 1 species
UUCCUACGGGGGGCAGCAGUGGGGAAUAUUGCACAAUGGGGGAAACCCUGAUGCAGCAACGCCGCGUGAGUGAAGAAGUAUUUCGGUAUGUAAAGCUCUAUCAGCAGGGAAGAAGAUGACGGUACCUGAUUAAGAAGCCCCGGCUAACUACGUGCCAGCAGCCGCGGUAAUACGUAGGGGGCAAGCGUUAUCCGGAUUUACUGGGCGUAAAGGGAGCGUAGCCGGCAUAGCAAGUCUGAAGUGAAAGCCCAAGGCUCAAC